rnacentral:rRNA from 1 species
UACGUAGGGGGCAAGCGUUGUCCGGAUUUAUUGGGCGUAAAGAGCGUGUAGGCGGCCAAACAGGUCAGCUGUGAAAACUCGAGGCUCAACCUCGAGACGUCGGUUGAAACCGUUUGGCUAGAGUCCGGAAGAGGAGAGUGGAAUUCCCGGUGUAGCGGUGAAAUGCGCAGAUAUCGGGAAGAGCACCCGUGGCGAAGGCGGCUCUCUGGGACGGUACUGACGCUGAGACGCGAAAGCGUGGGGAGCGAACAGG